AGCAGCCGCGGUAAUUCCGGCUCCAAUAGCGUAUAUUAAAGUUGUUGCAGUUAAAAAGCUCGUAGUUGAAUUUCGGGAUCAAUUUAUUGGUCGUGCUAUUGUACGUACUGGUAUUAUUGAUUCCUACCUUCUGACGAACCAUGAUGUCAUUAAUUUGGUGUCAUGGGGAAUCAGGACUGUUACUUUGAAAAAAUUAGAGUGUUUAAAGCAGGCUCACGCUUGAAUACAUUAGCAUGGAAUAACGAAAUAGGACGUUUGAUUCUAUUUUGUUGGUUUCUAGGAUCGACGUAAUGAUUAAUAGGGAUAGUUGGGGGCAUUAGUAUUCAAUUGUCAGAGGUGAAAUUCUUGGAUUUAUUGAAGACUAACUACUGCGAAAGCAUUUGCCAAGGAUGUUUUCAUUAAUCAAGAACGAAAGUUAGGGGAUCGAAGACGAUCAGAUACCGUCGUAGUCUUAACCAUAAACUAUGCCGACUAGGGAUCGGAUGAUGUUAAUUUUUAAUGACUCAUUCGGCGUCCG
rnacentral:rRNA from 1 species